UGGGGAAUAUUGGACAAUGGGGGCAACCCUGAUCCAGCAAUGCCGCGUGUGUGAAGAAGGCCUUAGGGUUGUAAAGCACUUUCAGUGGGGAGGAAGGGGCGUAUGUUAAUACCAUAUGUCAUUGACGUUACCCACAGAAGAAGCACCGGCUAACUCUGUGCCAGCAGCCGCGGUAAUACAGAGGGUGCGAGCGUUAAUCGGAAUUACUGGGCGUAAAGCGUGUGUAGGUGGUUGGAUAAGUUAGAUGUGAAAUCCCCGGGCUUAACCUGGGCAUUGCGUUUAAGACUGUUUAACUAGAGUACUGUAGAGGAUAGUGGAAUUUCCAGUGUAGCGGUGAAAUGCGUAGAUAUUGGAAGGAACACCAGUGGCGAAGGCGACUAUCUGGAUAGAUACUGACACUGAGACACGAAAGCGUGGGGAGCAAACAGGAUUAGAUACCCGUGUAGUCC
rnacentral:rRNA from 1 species